UUUCUUCUCUUAAACCGGAAAUACUUACUAGCCCCAGAACCCCAAACACUCUGUGACCCUCAGGGAGCAUGGGCACCAAACACCCAAGGGUGCCAGGUCCCCCUCAGCCCUGGAGGCUGCAGAGCUGUCUCAGGGAAUUGGUGGGGACAGAGCCCUGGAGAACAUGGGAGAUGGAGGGGACACUGUCCCCCUGGAGGCAGCAUCUGNAGAGCUGUCUCAGGGAAUUGGUGGGGACAGAGCCCUGGAGAACAUGGGAGAUGGAGGGGACACUGUCCCCCUGGAGGCAGCAUCUGUGCCUGUAACUUCCUCACAACCACAUGUGCUUUUCAGGGAAAACUGAACACCUUGUGCGCCUUGGUUCAGCGCUGCAGCCAGAUGCCACUGAUGUGGUAUCAGCCCAGGGACAUGGGGAGGUGCAUCAACUUCACCCUAAUGAAUCCCUACUGCGCCCAAAUGCUCUGCGGCUCUAACAUCUGCCUUCCACCCAGCCAGGAGUACUUCCCUCUCACCAGCUGCUGCUCACGCUGUCAACACUCCCCACCCAUAUGCUCUCAGCCCUCCGGGGUGCUGCCUUUGAUCUCUACCCCUUCCCAGGAGCUCUUCAGGACUACUAUGUCACCCACACCCCCAUAGCCCAACAUCUAAAGCACCAAACCCCCAAGAUUGUUAAGAGCCCCCCCUUUUCUUAUUGAUUUGAACAUACAUACUGUGUUCUGUUUAACAGUUAGAAGGAGUUGAAAUUUGUUGCUGAUCAGUUUGUUACCUGGUGAGUACUUCCCCACUGUGUGAGAUGCAGGCUACACUGCUCCUGCCAGGACAAAGCAUCCUGGUCCACGGUGGAUAGACAUGAUGAGUCCCAUUCCCCAAAGACAGGUCUUCCUCUGUCAUUAAGUGUUGGGGUGCAUGGGGUUUUAGCCAAAACAUGCUCUUUCAAAAAAGUCCAAAUAUCUUUGAUGUAUCAAUACAAUCUGAUAUCCAUUAUUCACUUGCUGUUACUUAUUCUCUUGGGCAAGUUGCUUAAUGUCUUUCUGCUUCAGUUUCCUCCCUGAAAAGAUCUGGAUAAUGGUGUCUCCUCUGAGGUGAUAGGAACUGCUGCAGUGUGCUGAGCACAGGGCUGGGUCAUUUGUAGAGACUCAGGGGCCCCGUAUUUAAUGCCUUCCCUUCCCUGCAGAGGGAGAGGAGAGGAUGAUGUGCUCAGAGACAUCAAGUAGUUUGCAGUGAGGACAGAUGUUUUAGAAAUCAUGACUGGGACUUUCAGCUCUGGAUACCAAAACAUGGGGUUGGCACGCCUGAGAAUUCUCUGUAAACUGCCGACUGCGCGUGGGUUCACAUCCAAGGCCUCCACCCAUGUAAUCCCCAAGACACCAUCAAAAAAAAUCCUGACACCUACUCCCUCCUUCAGAAAUGUUAGUUCCCUUCCUGUACCUUAAUAUGUCUCAUAGAGGUAAUUCCUCGUACCCAAUUUCGCAUGCUUUCAAAUCAGCUCAGACCUGUCAAGGGAGGAAGAGACCACAUACUCCAGUGUGCACACAUCCGUGCAACAAAUCAGGGGCCAUGAAGAAUCAAGUAAACAUGAGAUGAUGAAAAGAAGUGAGUAAAGCUCCAAUAACUGACCCUAAAGAAAUAGAGUUAU
rnacentral:lncRNA from 1 species